GUACGGCGGCCCUGGACUCGGCUCCGAGAGAGAACCACCUCUUGGCCCUGAGCAGGGGCUGGGUGGAGCCGGCCCUCGGCCCUCGCAGAGGGUGUUGGUGCCUACCUUUUUACCUUGUUUAGAAUUCGGCUGUCAGGCUGUUCCAAGACUUUGCACAGGCUCUCUCCAGAAUAUUGUUCUCCUAUCUGUCAAGCAGUCUCCAGUUCAAGAUCCUUUUGUGACGUCUUUGACUUUUGCAGUUCAAGUUGGUCACCACCUUCCUUCUUCAGGUCACUAUUGAAGCUUGUGCUUAUC
rnacentral:lncRNA from 1 species